CCCUAACAGCCCCAUGAUCAACCAUUCUGGGGAGUUUCAGUCUGCGCCGAAAUAUGCUCGUUCCUUCGGCGUGAAUCCCACCCUUACCACUUCCCCCCACCAAGAGAUCCCUUCGAUGCAAGAGCUGGAUGUGUCACCGGCUGAUGUGUACUCAAAUGGCAUGAUCAUCUCUGACAUCACCCACCUGCUGGAUCCCACACCUGAGCCUAGCAGAGAGCCAGUGACAGACAGCUUUCCCGCAACUCAAACCACAUUUUUAUCUCCCGCCUCCCCUACUCUGCCCUCCAUGGAGCUGGCACUGAAUUUGCUAGAUGACCCAGCUGCCCAGGAGUCUGAGGAAAUACCCUCUGAAAGUAAUGAUGUGUCGGAUCCACUGGCACUAAUUGAAUCCAGUUUAGCAGUGAUCCGCUCAUACGUUCCACCCUCACCAGACCUGGACAAUUUCAGCAAGAUCCUUAGUCCUGGCUGCCACAUCUCUGCUGUUAAAGACUCUGACACGAAAACCAAGAGCAAACAGAGAAGCCAGAAUGAAGCCGAUGCGCUACCUCACGCCGACACAGUUACACAGCAGCAGAGCCUGCAACAAAAUGCAGACCCGGAGCAGGAGCGCUACGAUAGUGGGGAGUAUUCAGAUAUCUUACCAUCCCUUCUGCAGCUGGUGCAGGAAGCAUCCAGCCUCUCCUUCAGUGAAACUACACUGCCUUUAGAGCUCUCUUUUAUCAUUUAAAACUCUAAUGCAUUUGAUAUUGUGCUGUGGUGGUUGAUAGUAAAAAGUGGUAUCUGAAACAGCCAAUAGUUGAUAGCUCUGCUGUUUAAUGGAAGGCUCAGUAUCAUUAUGCGGCAAUUGGAUAUAUGUAAAUUGUAAAUUAUGUAAAUUUUCCAUUGUGAUUUUUUUAUCCAUCAAUGAACUCUAACCUCUCUUGUUGACUCAAGAGUGAUUUCACAACAAACUUUUAGUCUAUUAGCACAAUUUACCAUGUGGGGUAAAGCAAUAGACCAAAAUGACAGAAAGCACUUUGAAUCAUCUGUGUUUUUUAAAAUUCAGUACAUGAUGGAAAAUUUUCCGUUAAUGCAACCUCUGCAGUGGGUGCUGUUUUAAAGGCAGCAUUUUUGUGUGGAAGGCUUGCCAUGAUGGUUUUAUUUUGCAGAAAAUCUGCUGCAUACACCCACCAAAUGUCUAAAUGUGUAACAACUAAUAUGCUAAUAAUAGAACUAAUGUGGCAAUUAAAGUUACUUAAGAGCAUGA
rnacentral:lncRNA from 1 species